GCCAAUAAAAGAUAAUCGGAAGGUUAGUUGAAGUGCCUGGGAAGGCACGGCGUAGAGGGUUAGACCCCCGUAGGCGAAAAUCCGAAGAUGUCCGAGGCGGUACCUGAGUAGGACGGGACACGAGAAAUCCUGUUUGAAUCUGGGGGGACCACCCUCCAAGGCUAAAUAUUACCUGGAGACCGAUAGUGUACCAGUACCGUGAGGGAAAGGUGAAAAGCACCUCGAACAGAGGAGUGAAAUAGUUCCUGAAACCCUGUGUCUACAAGCAGUGGAAGCACUACUGAUCUUCGGGUCAUGUGCGACCGCGUGCCUUUUGCAUAAUGAGCCAACGAGUUGUCUGUCGGUGGCAGGUUAAGUUUAUAACGGAGCCACAGCGAAAGCGAGUCUGAAGUGGGCGUUCGUCAUCGGCAACAGACCCGAAACCGAGUGAUCUACCCCUGUCCAGGUUGAAGCCUGGGUAAGACCAGGUGGAAGACCGAACCGUUGAGCCUUAAAACGUUCUCGGAUGAGGUGGGGGUAGGAGUGAAAGGCUAAUCAAACUCGGAGAUAGCUGGUUCUCCCCGAAAUAUAUUGAGGUAUAGCCUCGUGAUAGACCGCCGGAGGUAGAGCGCUGGAUGGACUAGGGCCCCCACCAGGGUACCAAACCCAACCAAACUACGAAUGCCGGCGAGUUGUUUCACGGGAGUCAGACGGCGGGAGCUAACUUCCGUCGUCGAAAGGGAAACAACCCUAACCAUCAGCUAAGGCCCCCAAGUCGUGACUAAGUGGGAAAGGAAGUGGGAGCGCCCAGACAGCCAGGAGGUUGGCUUAGAAGCAGCCACCCUUUAAAGAAAGCGUAACAGCUCACUGGUCGAGCGAACCUGCACCGAAAAUUUAACGGGGCUCAAGUCAUGCGCCGAAGCUAUGGGAUUUGUAUUUAUACAAAUCGGUAGGGGAGCGUUCCCUGUGCGGUGAAGCUGAAUCGAAAGGGUCAGUGGAGCGCAGGGAAGUGAGGAUGUUGGCAUAAGUAACGAAAAUGCGAGUGAGAAACUCGCACGCCGAAAGCCCAAGGUUUCCCGGGCCAUGUUAUUCAGCCCGGGGUUAGUCGGCACCUAAGACGAGGCCGAAAGGCGUAGUCGACGGCAAACCGGUUCAUAUUCCGGUACUUGCACGUGCGCGUGAUGGAGGGACACAGGAGGAUAGGCCGUCCGGGUGAUGGAUAUCCCGGUUCAAGGCAUUAGGCGGAAGUUCCAGGCAAAUCCGGAGCUUCAUUCAACGCCGAGAGCUGAUGACGAGAGGCUUUGCUUCGCAAAGCGGUCGAUUCCACACUGUCGAGAAAAGCUUCUAAGCAUAGCACGGGCGAACCGUACCCCAAACCGACACAGGUGGGCGGGUAGAGAAUACCAAGGCGCUUGAGGGAAAUCAUGUUAAGGAACUCUGCAAAUUGACUCCGUAACUUCGGAAGAAGGAGUGCCUGUAGUGGUAAAGGGACUUGCUCCCCGAGCUUCAGCAGGCCGCAGUGACCAGGCCCAGCCGACUGUUUAGCAAAAACACAGCACUCUGCCAAAUCGCAAGAUGAUGUAUAGGGUGUGACGCCUGCCCGGUGCCGGAAGGUUAAGGGGAGGAGUUAGGUCUUCGGACCAAAGCUCCAAACCGAAGCCCCGGUAAACGGCGGCCGUUAACAAUAACGGUCCUAAGGUAGCGAAAUUCCUUGUCGGGUAAGUUCCGACCUGCACGAAUGGCGUAACGAUCUGGGCGCUGUCUCAAUGUGAUUCUCAGUGAAAUUGAAAUGGCGGUGAAGAUACCGUCAACCCGCGGCAAGACGGAAAGACCCCGUGCACCUUUACUGCAGCUUGGCAGUGGACCUGGGAAAGAUUUGUGUAGGAUAGGUGGGAGGCUUUGAAGGGGGGACGCUAGUUCUUCUGGAGCCAUCCUUGAAAUACCACCCUGAUUUUUUCUGUGUUCUAACCUCGUUCCGUGAUCCGGAACAGGGACCCUGUCUGGUGGGCAGUUUGACUGGGGCGGUCGCCUCCCAAAGCGUAACGGAGGCGCGCAAUGGUUCCCUCAGCCGGUUUGGAAAUCCGGCGUAGAGUGCAAAGGCAUAAGGGAGCCUGACUGCAAGAGAGACAUUUCAAGCAGGUACGAAAGUAGGUCUUAGUGAUCCGGUGGUUCCGAGUGGAAGGGCCAUCGCUCAACGGAUAAAAGGUACGCCGGGGAUAACAGGCUAAUCGCGCCCAAGAGUUCAUAUCGACGGCGCGGUUUGGCACCUCGAUGUCGGCUCAUCGCAUCCUGGGGCUGAAGCAGGUCCCAAGGGUAUGGCUGUUCGCCAUGAUGUCGGCUCAUCGCAACCUGGGGCUGAAGUCGGUCCCAAGGGUUGGGCUGUUCGCCCAUUAAAGCGGUACAGGUCCCAAGGGUUUGGCUGUUCGCCAAUUAAAGUGGUACGUGAGCUGGGUUCAGAACGUCGUGAGACAGUUAGUCCCAAGGGUAUGGCUGUUCGCCAUUUAAAGUGGUACGCGAGCUGGGUUUAGAACGUCGUGAGACAGUUCGUCCCAAGGGUUGGGCUGUUCGCCCAUUAAAGCGGUACGCGAGCUGGGUUCAGAACGUCGUGAGACAGUUCGGCUAUCCGCCGUGGGCGCAGGAGAUCUGAGGAG
rnacentral:rRNA from 1 species